UACAGAGGGUGCGAGCGUUAAUCGGAAUUACUGGGCGUAAAGGGCGCGUAGGUGGUUAUUUAAGUCAGAUGUGAAAUCCCUGGGCUUAACCUAGGAAUUGCAUAUGAAACUGAAUAGCUAGAGUACGGGAGAGGGAAGUGGAAUUUCCGGUGUAGCGGUGAAAUGCGUAGAUAUCGGAAGGAACACCAGUGGCGAAGGCGACUUCCUGGCCCGUUACUGACACUGAGGCGCGAAAGCGUGGGGAGCGAACAGG
rnacentral:rRNA from 1 species